rnacentral:rRNA from 1 species
AACGUAGGGGGCGAGCGUUAUCCGGAUUUACUGGGCGUAAAGCGCGUGUAGGCGGUUGGGAAAGUUGGACGUGAAAGCUCCCGGCUUAACUGGGAGAGGUCGUUCAAUACUACCCGGCUUGAGGUUGGAAGAGGAGAGUGGAAUUCCCAGUGUAGUGGUGGAAUGCGUAGAUAUCGGGAGGAACACCAGUGGCGAAAGCGGCUCUCUGGACCAAUUCUGACGCUGAGAUGCGAAAGCGUGGGGAGCAAACGGG